rnacentral:rRNA from 1 species
UGACUNGAGUGCAGAAGGGGAGAGUGGAAUNCCAUGUGUAGCGGUGAAAUGCGUAGAUAUAUGGAGGAACGCCAGUGGCGAAAGCGGCUCUCUGGUCUGUCACUGACGCUGAGGCUCGAAAGCGUGGGUAGCGAACAGGAUUAGAUACCCUGGUAGUCCACGCCGUAAACGAUGAGUGCUAGGUGUUAGGCCCUUUCCGGGGCUUAGUGUCGGAGCUAACGCAAUAAGCACUCCGCCUGGGGAGUACGACCGCAAGGUUGAAACUCAGAGGAAUUGACGGGGGCCCGCACAAGCGGUGGAGCAUGUGGUUUAAUUCGAAGCAACGCGAAGAACCUUACCAGGUCUUGACAUCCCGAUGCUAUUCUUAGAGAUAGGGAGUUACUUCGGUACAUCGGAGACAGGUGGUGCAUGGUUGUCGUCAGCUCGUGUCGUGAGAUGUUGGGUUAAGUCCCGCAACGAGCGCAACCCUUAUUGUUAGUUGCCAUCAUUAAGUUGGGCACUCUAGCGAGACUGCCGGUAAUAAACCGGAGGAAGGUGGGGAUGACGUCAAAUCAUCAUGCCCCUUAUGACCUGGGCUACACACGUGCUACAAUGGUCGGUACAACGAGUUGCGAGCCGGUGACGGCAAGCUAAUCUCUGAAAGCCGAUCUCAGUUCGGAUUGGAGGCUGCAACUCGCCUCCAUGAAGUCGGAAUCGCUAGUAAUCGCGGAUCAGCACGCCGCGGUGAAUACGUUCCCGGGCCUUGUACACACCGCCCGUCACACCACGAGAGUUUGUAACACC